AUCAUCGCCUGCCUGAUGUUUGGACUUUUAAACCUGGUUUUUACCCUGCACAAGCUGGCAAACUUGAGGGGAACAAGAGUGGGAAAACCUCGCCCUGUCCUUGACCAAGAAAGCUCGAUUUGUUGAGAGAUCAACUGGCAUAAGAGAUGCUCAAGAGGAGAAGGACACAAGCAGCAUCAAUGGUACAACUACAUGUCGCUCCAGCGCCCGCUUUCCAGGUCUCUACCAGCUGCUUUCCAGGUCCCUCCACCCGCCAAGAUCAGGUCUAGGUCCCUGCACUGGCUGCUUUCCAGGUCCCCUAGCGGUCAAGGUCUCUCCAGUCGCUGCUGUGCAGGUCCCAACACCGUAUGCCGUCAAGGUCCCUCCAUAAGCUGAAAUCCAGGUUCCUCAUUCCACUGCGGUCCAGGUACCUCCAACAGCUGAGAUCCAGGUCUCUGCAGCAGCUGCGGUCUAAAUACUCCACCCGCAAUGGUCCAUUGCGGUCAACCUUUUGCUUCAAAAUCUUCCAUAAAUGUCUAUUAUUGUAUAAUGUAUUGUAAAAAUAAUCUGUUUUUAUUAAUUUGCGGUGUACUAUUUUUGUCAUAUAAACAUAAUUUUCGUACACAUUGUGUUUUUUUCCCUUUUAACCACAUGGGGCUUAUAAUGAACUGUUGUAAUUGCUUCACAAAAACCAUUUUUUCUAGAACAUAUCAGUCCAAAAUUAUUUUUUUUCACACUGCAAAAUCCCACAAAA